AGGCUCCGUCGGAGCAGUGCGGCAGCCGAGGCUCGCACAGCUGGUUCCGCCGUUUUACUGCAAACACACUGCGCGCACAGCGCGCUACGAGCGCGGCACCGCUGCGGCGGCCCCAACGACACGAAAGUGAAACUGAAUAGAAAGAGCGCUUCCUCCAUCACCCUCCUCCGGCCUCGUGCGCGGCCCAGCCCCGCACGAACCGGCCGCUCGCGCGGCAGGCCGGCAGUGCCGUGCCGGGCGGGAGGCGGCGCUCCGAGGCCGCGGCUUUGUUCGGCCCGGCGCUGCCGCCGGGCGGGGGCGCUGCGGGCGGCCCCGAGGGGCGGGGGGCGCGCAUGCGCGCGGCGCCUCACGCAGCGGCCUCGCGCCGGGCCCGCUCCCCUCCCCCCGCCGCGGCUCCUAACGGUCCCUCCCGCUCUCUCCCUCCUUCCUUCCCUCCCUCAGAGCGGCGGCCGCGGCCCGGCACGCGGCGGCGCCGCUCCUACCUGCGGGCCGCGGCGGCGCCUCCCGUUCGCCGUCGCGCCGGCGGCGGGGGAGGGACGGGAGGAGGGACGGAGAGAAGCGGCUGCGCGUCCCGCCGCGCUCGCGAGAGCGCCGCCCGCCCGCCGCCCGCCGCCCCCCGCUCACGUGCCCGGCGGCCGCCCCGCUCCUCCGCUCCGCUCGCCGGCGCCGGCCGCCCCGCUCCGCCUGUGGGGAUGUGGCCGGGCUGAGGGAGGCGCCGCCGGCCCGGGUCUCGCGAGAGGCGGAGGCCGCUCACCGAGCUCUCGCGAGAGCGCCGCCGCUCCGCCGGUCCUCGCCUCAUGGCCGCGCGCUGCCGCCGGGGCGGGGCUUGGCCGCGCGCCUCUCCGCCCCCCGGCCGCGGGGCUGCGGGUUCGCGCCCGCCCUCCGCCUCCCUCGGCCCCGCGCGCCGCCGUUACCUGCCCCGGGCCGCGGCCGCCCAUAGUCCCGCCGCUCCUAGGCCGGGCGCCCGGCGGGACGGAGCCGUUACCUGCGCGGAGGCGUCUGUCAGCACGGGCUCCGGGCCCCGCCGGGCGCGUUAGAAUGUUCUGGCAAAGGGGAAAAAAAAAAAACAAAACAGCACCACAAACCGGCGGCGGCGGCGCGGCCUCCCUCGCACGGCGCACGGCGCCACCUGGCGCCGACAGCGGGGAACGCGCUGCUCGCUCCCGCCCUCCGCCGGCAGCAGCGCCGAAGCGACGCGAACACCCGUGGCUUAACGCCCCUCGGCUGUCGCGCCGCUCCCUGCCCCGUUCCGCGGCCGUGCGAUCCGUGUCGCCACCGGCCGGGAAGCGGCGCUGCGGGAGCCCGCAGCUCCCGGGGAAAGGCGGCUUUCCUGGCAGCCCCCCGGGUCUGGCCGCUCCUGACUUCAUUUCGGCACCGCGGGUUUUGUCUCCAUCCCCUCGCUGA
rnacentral:lncRNA from 1 species